GAUGAACGCUGGCGGCGUGCCUAAUACAUGCAAGUCGAGCGAACAGACGAGGAGCUUGCUCCUCUGACGUUAGCGGCGGACGGGUGAGUAACACGUGGAUAACCUACCUAUAAGACUGGGAUAACUUCGGGAAACCGGAGCUAAUACCGGAUAAUAUAUUGAACCGCAUGGUUCAAUAGUGAAAGGCGGUUUUGCUGUCACUUAUAGAUGGAUCCGCGCCGCAUUAGCUAGUUGGUAAGGUAACGGCUUACCAAGGCAACGAUGCGUAGCCGACCUGAGAGGGUGAUCGGCCACACUGGAACUGAGACACGGUCCAGACUCCUACGGGAGGCAGCAGUAGGGAAUCUUCCGCAAUGGGCGAAAGCCUGACGGAGCAACGCCGCGUGAGUGAUGAAGAUCUUCGGAUCGUAAAACUCUGUUAUUAGGGAAGAACAAGUGUGUAAGUAACUAUGCACGUCUUGACGGUACCUAAUCAGAAAGCCACGGCUAACUACGUG
rnacentral:rRNA from 1 species